UACGGGGGGGGCAAGCGUUGUUCGGAAUUACUGGGCGUAAAGGGCUCGUAGGUGGCCAACUUAGUCAGACGUGAAAUCCCUCGGCUUAACCGGGGAACUGCGUCUGAUACUGGAUGGCUUGAGAUUGGGAGAGGGAUGCGGAAUUCCAGGUGUAGCGGUGAAAUGCGUAGAUAUCUGGAGGAACACCGGUGGCGAAGGCGGCAUCCUGGACCAACACUGACACUGAGGAGCGAAAGCCAGGGGAGCAAACGGG
rnacentral:rRNA from 1 species